rnacentral:tRNA from 1 species
GCCGCCUUAGCUCAGUUGGUUAGAGCGCUUGAUUGUGGAUCAAGAGGUCGCCCGUUCGAGCCGGGCAGGCGGUACCA